GGCGAUUGUAAUAGAACAACUGGCAUUAUAGAAACUGGUUUCUUCCCCAAAGUAAAACACACAGUAGACUUCCCUUGUUCUGUAAGUCAGAAUACAUUGACUCUGUCUUUAAAAGCAGUGGACAAAACAGCUGUCGUACUGGACGCAUACCUAAAUUGGAAAAAUCCACCACGUAAGUAUAAUUGAUUAUUUAACAAAAUUUAUACUGGUAGCUACUGAACGACAGCCAGGGGUGCAACUUGACUGUAGG